ensembl:miRNA
UAUUAAUAUGGAAGGGAGAAGAGCUUUAAUGAUUGGAGUCAUUUUCAGAGCAUUAAAGCUGUUCUCCCUUCCAUAUUAAUG